CUACCACACAAGUCGAAUAAGCCGAGAAUCUAUCGCGAACUUUAAAUUGGUACGAAUCAGGUUGAGAUCGCAUACGGGAAUACAUAAACCGAAGUAGUCAUCGCACACCCUAAAAUGACGGUAAACAUAGGUCUUACCCUAAACCCAGCACACUGGUCUUUAACAUCUCAAGGCAUAGUAUUUGACGAUACGAGAUCCUAAAAGUUGUCUCUUCGUAUAUUCCACGUUCAUGAAUCUUCACAAAAUUAAAAAAAUUCGGAUUUCUUCGCCUAAAACGAACAACAAAUACGACGACCUAUCAAAAGAGUUAGGAAUGAGAUUACAACUCAUAUUCUUCCCUCUACAUCUACAAAGAAAAACACAUACUCUUAAUCAUAAAUAUCAUAAGUUCAUUAACAAAAAGGGUGCCCAGCGCAGGGAUUCGAAGUCACAUACAGUCAGUCCUG
rnacentral:lncRNA from 1 species